rnacentral:rRNA from 1 species
UACAGAGGGUGCGAGCGUUGUUCGGAAUUACUGGGCGUAAAGCGCGUGUAGGCGGUCUAAUAAGUCAGAUGUGAAAUCCCCGGGCUCAACCUGGGAACUGCAUUUGUGACUGUAGAGCUGGAGUACGGCAGAGGGGGAUGGAAUUCCGCGUGUAGCAGUGAAAUGCGUAGAUAUGCGGAGGAACACCGAUGGCGAAGGCAAUCCCCUGGGCCUGUACUGACGCUCAUGCACGAAAGCGUGGGGAGCAAACAGG